CCCAAGAAUCUGAGCCCUGGGACCUCCUGUCAUCCCACGGGUAGGAGAAGGAGGGCUUUGGGGACGGGGGAGGAGGGUUUCCUGGAAACUCUCACCCCCAAACCCUCAGAUUCCCUCUCACCACCACCGGGUCCAGGGAAGGCAGCCAUUACAGCAGACAUCCGGGGAGAGGCCCGGCUGGCUCAGGGGCAGGGUCUGAAGGCCAUCAGUGGCUGACCAAGACCCACUCUAGCUUCAAGUUCUCUCCCCAGCCCCGGCCCCCAGUGCUGGGGCUAGAACCCAGGGCCUGUGCAGGUGAGGAAAGCUCUCUACCACUGAGCUGCCCCUCCAGCCCUUGUUCUAUUGGAACAGGGUCUCUCUAAGUUGUCUAAGCUGGUCUUGAACUUGCAAUCCUCCUGCCUCAGCUUCCCGAGUAGCUGGGGUUAUAGGCGAGCACCAACACCAUCCAGGACUCUCUUGUCGACAGCCUCCUGCUUUCUGGUGACCUCCCUGGAGGAGGGGGCAACUUGCACUGCCGCUCCAUCUCUGGCACUGGAAGCUCCCCCCACCCCCACUGCUAUCCCUGCCUCUGGGUGGGUUCCUUCACAGGGCUGCUGGGUGGAUUUGGUGCCACAGGGCCUUGACACAAGCCGGCAUGGAUUCUGCAGGUGAAGCCACUGCUGAUCUGGAGAAGAUGUGGGGAAAGGACAGGGGGCCACCCUGGAACCCCUCCCCCUGGGCUGGGUGAUUGAGUGAAUGAGUGGGUGAGUGGACUGGGCAGUCAGUGGCAGUCUCACUUCCUGGGUGAUAUCAGGGUACCUUCCUAGGACACUCAACGCCUGGCUGACACUGGCAUCACAUGGGCUCCGGUGACAUCAUUGCUGGGACACAGACACAGACUUCUGAUAUCUCUUGAAGGGCCUCGUGGCCCCUGCUGGGGGAAGCGGCAGGAACUGGGCAGCCCUUUCCUGGUGCUCCCCUGAGCAAGGGGAAGGAGGCCUCAGGACCAGGACCCCAGUAUCCUGCCUCCCAUGCUUGCUCGCUAUAAAGAUAUCUGCAGCCUGGGAGGCUGCCCGGUCAACACUGCGCAACUGAGACUGGGCUGAGAGGGCUCCCAGCCUCCACUGGCUUGGCUGGGACCAACCUCUCCAGGGAAACUUAGCACAUGGGAGCCUGACCAGUGAGGUUGUGGCACCCCAACUCCAGGUGUCCCCCGGCUUUGUGGAACAGACACGCCCUGUCUUGAAGCUGCAGAAUCCAUUAAAUAAUUCAGUGGUGUUUUUAAGAUCAUGAAGUUACCAGGUGACACACUUGGCGAUUGCAGCCACACUGAGGACAGGUGGCUCCUGCUGGGAGAUUACCACCUCUGCAAACAGGUCCCUGAGCAGCAACAGGUGUCCCUCACUGGGACCAGAAUCGGGGGGCCUGUGGCUGAAUGCAGAGGAGGAGGCUGGCCGUGGAUAACAGGGCAACAGCUGGUUUGGAGGUGGAGCCAGAGGGCAGCAACCAGGCCUGUGGCGUGGCAGUGACAGGCAGGUGAGGGUGGCCCUCUUGGAGCCGCAGCACCAGGAUGCACGAGCUCCAUAGCUUACCUGUCCAGGUGACACCAGGACAUGGCUGUUGUCCUUCUGUGUGAUGUAGUUGGAUAUUGCAUGUAGCAAUAGUUCUGAGCCUUUGGGGUUCAUCUGCAACUUCCUGUACCGUCUCAUUUCAAGCUAAAGUCUAACCCAGGAGGCAAAUAGUCCCACUUCAGAGAUGAGACAGUUGAAGCUCAGAAAAGAUAAGGAUACUGUCUGAUGCCACACAACUAACAAGAACUUGAUCAAAAUUCGAGGCACAACUGCCCUCCAGCGCACACAUCACACGUCAGCUGCAGGGAGGUCAGCAAUCAUUAGGCUCCUGGCCAAGCAUGUUCCUGAAAUACCCCAGCCUCAUUUCUCCAACAAAUGUUUGGCCAAGGAGGUUGGUGAGGGGACUGAUUGUCCAAACCACAGGGAAGUCUCUAGUGGGAUGAUGCUGGGCUCUGUCCUGGAGGGAAGUCUGACACUCAGAGGCCUGCCCUAGAGCAGACCUCCUACUGCGGCCAAUGUUGGGGGGGUCCUAGGAGGAGACCAAUCCAGUGACCUUCUGCCCGACCAAAUAAAAGUCUUCAAUGUGGCUUUGGAAACCCA